AAAGCUGGCCCACCAUGCUAUACUGUCCCUCAAAGUAAGAAAGCCACCCUGAGUUGUCUCCAAGAUCCUUAUUAUUCCGUGAAUUCCCUGCUUCCCCCAGGCCUUCAGGGCCCAGUGAUUUCACGAAGAGGGCAUUUCAGCUUGGGCUCAUCCUCCAAGUGUCCCGUAUAAACAAGGUAACAGCUUUAUCACAGCCUGGGUUCACAGCCGGACUCUGUCCCUAUCAGCGCCAUGACCUUGUGGGAGAGAGCUUCCAUCACAUGGUACCAGAGGAAUCUCCACCCAACAGUUGUCAUGAGGAUUAAACGAGAUCACAGACUAGAUCAAUUGCAGAUCACAGGGCUUGAUGCCUCGUGGCUGGAAGCAAACACCAAUCCCACCAAAAGAAGUCCGUGCAGAUGGUGGGAGUGGGCAGAAGGGGAGGGGGCUUCUUGAGGGAGAACUGGGAAGGCUCCUUAGAGGAGGUCAUGGUUUAAGCAUCAGCUGAUGACAGUUACGAGUACAGCUCGACAACCAAGAGUGUUUUCAGGCGCUGGGAGGGGCAGGGCAGCAGUGGGAAGAACGGCGGCGUGGAGUGGGUCUGGGUCCUGGUUCCCACCCCCUGCUCUUUGUGCUGCAGUUGGGCCUCAGCUUCCACAUCUGUAAAAUUGGAACAAUAAUAUUGAUGGUACCUGGACCACGUGGGAGCGUGCAGGCCCCCGCCGCCCGGGUCUGCUGCAGGGAAGGUUCCGCUAUCUGCUCCCACUCCACAUGCUGAUGUGGGCCAAACCCUGGGCCUUUGAAGCAUCCUUGUUUCCUCCUUUUGAGCUGCCGUGUCAUUUGCUGAACUUCCAGUGUUGACGACAUACCCCAGACCUUCAGAGCUGGAAAAAAGACAGAACUUAGCCAUCCACUAGUGCAGCCUCCCAUUUCACAGACAGGAAACCCAAGGCUCAGAGAGGGGAAGUCAUGGCACUCCCAGGCCCUGACCUCCAGCUUUUCCCAAGACCACAACAGCCCCUCCCAACCCGGACCCACCUAGCAAGAACUGCACCGAAGCUGGAGGCAAUUAGCCAGAUGGUUCCAGCCAAAGGAUCUAAAAAAUUCUGGCUAAGAAACACAAGCUUCUGGACUACUUGCAGAUCUGAAGCAAAAGCCUUUUUUGCCCUCAUUUUAAUUACAAUUCCAUAGGCGACAGCUUCACCUUCUCCUCUAGAGCUGAGCUCUGAACAAGCUUGCUGGGGGGCGGGAGGCAUGCUGAGAACGGGGCUCUGAGCUCCAGCAGCUCACAGAUUGUGGCCACCAGGACAUUUUCGCACUUCUUACUGCCAAAAGCUGCCAUGGAAGUGGAUCUGCUCCCAAAGUGGGCUUUCAAAGAGUGGCGGGAGGCCCUGGAUGAUCCUGAAAUCUGUGUGCUCAGGCUGAUCUCAGACACAGGGGGUGGAAGUUGGUUUCAGCAAAAGGACACUGGGGCCAGAGCAACUGGCAGAGACUGGGGGUGCUGCGGGUGACCGUCUUGGCCACUGAGCAAGUGCCAGACCGUUCUGGUCUCCUUUUCCUCAUCCAUAAGAUGGGGAUAACGGCCUCCUUCCAGAGCUGUGAGGAUAUGGGGAGAUGGCAUAUGGGGGUAAAGCCAGGCAGAGAGCCAGUGAUUAACAGCAAGAGUUGCUCUUGG